UCGAUGUACAGUAAAACCUCUAUAUUUUGUAUUACAUGAAGUACGUGUAACAUCACAAUAGCGUUGUGUCAUUAUGUACACAGCAAAAAACGCCAGCCUGUAACAAUGUUGUUGAAAACAGGCUUGAACAAUGUUUUGCUGCCCACGUUGUUCACACUUGUCAACAAUAUUGAACAAUAUUGUUGAGCUUGAAUCGGGUGUAACAAUAUUGUUCAAUAUUGUUGACAACUGUGAACAAUGUGGGCAGCAAAACGUUGUUCAAGCCUGUUUUCAACAGCAUGGCGUUUUUUGCUGUGUACAC